rnacentral:rRNA from 1 species
GAAUCUUAGACAAUGGGGGAAACCCUGAUCUAGCCAUGCCGCGUGAUCGAUGAAGGCAUUAGGGUUGUAAAGAUCUUUCAGUGGGGAAGAUAAUGACGGUACCCACAGAAGAAGCCCCGGCUAACUUCGUGCCAGCAGCCGCGGUAAUACGAAGGGUGCUAGCGUUGUUCGGAUUUACUGGGCGUAAAGCGCACGUCGGCGGUUUGUUAAGUCAGAGGUGAAAUCCCGGAGCUCAACUCCGGAACUGCCUUUGAUACUGGCAAGCUAGAGUCCGGAAGAGUUGAGUGGAACUCCUAGUGUAGAGGUGGAAUUCGUAGAUAUUAGGAAGAACACCAGUGGCGAAGGCGGCUCACUGGUCCGGUACUGACGCUGAGGUGCGAAAGCGUGGGGAGCAAACA